CUAUACCUACGGGGCGCAGCAGUGAGGAAUAUUGGUCAAUGGGCGGGAGCCUGAAACAGCCAAGUCGCGUGAGGGAAGACGGUCCUAUGGAUUGUAAACCUCUUUAGGCGGGGAGCAAUGCCGGGCACGUGUGCCCGGAGGGAGAGUACCCGCAGAAUAAGCAUCGGCUAACUCCGUGCCAGCAGCCGCGGUAAUACGGAGGAUGGGAGCGUUAUCCGGAUUUAUUGGGUUUAAAGGGUGCGUAGGCGGAUUUUUAAGUCAGCGGUAACAUGUCCGGGCUCAACCCGGGCCGGCCGUUGAAACUG
rnacentral:rRNA from 1 species